UACGGGGGGGGCAAGCGUUGUUCGGAAUUACUGGGCGUAAAGGGCUCGUAGGCGGCCAACUAAGUCAUACGUGAAAUCCCUCGGCUUAACCGGGGAACUGCGUCUGAUACUGGAUGGCUUGAGUUCGGGAGAGGGAUGCGGAAUUCCAGGUGUAGCGGUGAAAUGCGCAGAUAUCAGGAAGAACACCCGUGGCGAAGGCGGCUCUCUGGGACGGUACUGACGCUGAGACGCGAAAGCGUGGGGAGCGAACAGG
rnacentral:rRNA from 1 species